GACGAACGCUGGCGGCGUGCCUAAUACAUGCAAGUAGAACGCAGAGGCAGGGGCUUUCUUCGCUGGACGAGUGGCGAACGGGUGAGUAACGCGUGGGUAACCUGCCUGUUAGCGGGGGAUAACUAUUGGAAACGCUAGCUAAUACCGCAUAAUAUUUACUAUUGCAUGAUAGUCAGUUGAAAGGUGCGACUGCGCCGCUACCACUUGGAGCUUCGGCGUAUUAGCUAGUUGGUGGGGUUACGGCUCACCAAGGCGACGAUACAUAGUCGACCGGAGAGGGGGGUCGGCCCACCUGGGAAUGUGACCGGGCCCAAACGCCCUAGGGAAGGAGCCAGAGGGCAACUUCGGGAAUCGGCGGAAGUCUUACCGAGCAACGCCGCGGGAGGGUAGAAGGGUUUCGGGUCCUGAAGGUCUGUUUUAAGGGAAGAAACAGUGUGAGAGUGGAAAGCUCACACUGUGACGGUACCUUAUCAGAAAGCGACGGCUAACUACGUG
rnacentral:rRNA from 1 species